CUAUUCAGCUGUUACUAUUUUAAAAAUACAAGAUAACAAGCAAGGAGCUUACUUCUACUGGUCAAGCAAGUUUUAAUCAAGUUUCAAUAAAUGUUUUUUUUUCUAGCCUAUGUCUAUGAAAAAGUGUCCUAAUUAGAAAGCCAUUACUUGCUAGCCCAAACUUCCCGCAGGACGGCAGAGGAUAGCCUGAACACGGAACCAUCGAGACAACUAGUACGCAUCACAUGCGACACGACCAGUCCAGCUGUCACCAUGGGCUUAAUAAUUUCAAUGCCAGAUAGACCAAAGAUAGAUCAUACAGAGACAGAUGGUUGUGAGCAAAAACUCAUGAAUGAAGAUCCGAUGCUUGGUAAACCUGAUUUUUUUAUUUUCACGUCAUAUUUUGACUAAAUCUUGUUAUUUAACAAACC
rnacentral:sRNA from 1 species